rnacentral:rRNA from 1 species
CCUACGGGAGGCAGCAGUGGGGAAUAUUGGACAAUGGGCGAAAGCCUGAUCCAGCAAUGCCGCGUGAGUGAUGAAGGCCUUAGGGUUGUAAAGCUCUUUUACCAGGGAUGAUAAUGACAGUACCUGGAGAAUAAGCUCCGGCUAACUCCGUGCCAGCAGCCGCGGUAAUACGGAGGGAGCUAGCGUUGUUCGGAAUUACUGGGCGUAAAGCGUGCGUAGGCGGUGAUUCAAGUCAGAGGUGAAAGCCUGGAGCUCAACUCCAGAACGGCCUUUGAAACUAGAUCGCUAGAAUUAUGGAGAGGUAAGUGGAAUUCCGAGUGUAGAGGUGAAAUUCGUAGAUAUUCGGAAGAACACCAGUGGCGAAGGCGACUUACUGGACAUAUAUUGACGCUGAGGUACGAAAGCGUGGGGAGCAAACAGGAUUAGAUACCCUGGUAGUCCACGCCGUAAACGAUGAUAACUAGCUGUUCGGGCUCUCAGNGUCUGAGUGGCGCAGCUACGCAUUAAGUUAGUCCGCCGUGGGAGGUACGGUCGCGAGUAAGUAAACGUACGUUAAGAAGUAGUUACGGCGUGAGAGNGCCGACGGACGACGACGAGGGAGGAGG